rnacentral:rRNA from 1 species
CCUACGGGUGGCAGCAGUCGAGAAUCAUUCACAAUGGGGGAAACCCUGAUGGUGCGACGCCGCGUGGGGGAAUGCAGGUCUUCGGAUUGUAAACCCCUGUCAUGUGGGAGCAAAUUAACAAGAUAGUACCACAAGAGGUAGCGACGGCUAACUCUGUGCCAGCAGCCGCGGUAAUACCGAGGUCUCAAGAGUUGUUCGGAAUCACUGGGCGUAAGGCGUGCGUAGGCUGUUUCGUAAGUCGUGUGUGAAAGGCGCGGGCUCAACCCGCGGACGGCACAUGAUACUGCGAGACUAGAGUAAUGGGGAGGGAACCGGAAUUCGCGGUGUAGCAGUGAAAUGCGUAGAUAUCGAGAGGAACACUCGUGGCGAAGGCGGGUUCCUGGACAUUAACUGACGCUGAGGCACGAAGGCCAGGGGAGCGAAAGGGAUUAGAUACCCCAGUAGUC